rnacentral:rRNA from 1 species
GACGAACGCUGGCGGCGUGCUUAACACAUGCAAGUCGAACGGAAAGGCCCUGCUUGCAGGGUACUCGAGUGGCGAACGGGUGAGUAACACGUGGGUGAUCUGCCCUGCACUUCGGGAUAAGCCUGGGAAACUGGGUCUAAUACCGGAUAGGAGCCAGUUUUAGUGUGAUGGUUGGAAAGAUUUUUCGGUGUAGGAUGAGCCCGCGGCUUAUCAGCUUGUUGGUGGGGUAAUGGCCUACCAAGGCGGCGACGGGUAGCCGGCCUGAGAGGGUGGACGGCCACAUUGGGACUGAGGUACGGCCCAGACUCCUACGGGAGGCAGCAGUGGGGAAUAUUGCACAAUGAGCGCAAGCCUGAUGCAGCGACGCCGCGUGGGGGAUGACGGCCUUCGGGUUGUAAACGCCUUUCGCUAGGGACGAAGCUUUUUGUGACGUUACCUAGAUAAGAAGCACCGGCUAACUACGU